UACGUAGGUGGCAAGCGUUUUCCGGAUUUACUGGGCGUAAAGGGAGCGUAGGUGGAUAUUUAAGUGGGAUGUGAAAUACCCGGGCUUAACCUGGGUGCUGCAUUCCAAACUGGAUAUCUAGAGUGCAGGAGAGGAAAGGAGAAUUCCUAGUGUAGCGGUGAAAUGCGUAGAGAUUAGGAAGAAUACCAGUGGCGAAGGCGCCUUUCUGGACUGUAACUGACACUGAGGCUCGAAAGCGUGGGGAGCAAACAGG
rnacentral:rRNA from 1 species